AGAGUUGAUCCUGGCUCAGGAUGAACGCUAGCGACAGGCUAACACAUGCAAGUCGAGGGGCAUCACGGGAGUAGCAAUACAACUGGUGGCGACCGGCGCACGGGUGAGUAACGCGUAUGCAACCUACCUAUCAGAGGGGAAUAACCCGGCGAAAGUCGGACUAAUACCGCAUAAAACAGGGGCACCGCAUGGUGAUAUUUGUUAAAGAAAUUCGCUGAUAGAUGGGCAUGCGUUCCAUUAGGUAGUUGGUGAGGUAACGGCUCACCAAGCCGACGAUGGAUAGGGGAACUGAGAGGUUGGUCCCCCACACUGGUACUGAGACACGGACCAGACUCCUACGGGAGGCAGCAGUGAGGAAUAUUGGUCAAUGGGCGGGAGCCUGAACCAGCCAAGUCGCGUGAAAGGAAGAAGGAUCUAUGGUUCGUAAACUUCUUUUGCAGGGGAAUAAAGUGCAGGACGUGUCCUGUUUUGUAUGUACCCUGAGAAUAAGGAUCGGCUAACUCCGUGCCAGCAGCCGC
rnacentral:rRNA from 1 species